UACGGGGGGGGCAAGCGUUGUUCGGAAUUACUGGGCGUAAAGGGCUCGUAGGCGGCCCACUAAGUCCGACGUGAAAUCCCCAGGCUUAACUUGGGAACUGCGUCGGAUACUGGUGGGCUUGAAUCCGGGAGAGGGAUGCGGAAUUCCAGGUGUAGCGGUGAAAUGCGUAGAUAUGUGGAAGAACACCAGUGGCGAAGGCGGUUUUCUAGUUUAUACCUGACGCUGAUGCGCGAAAGCAAGGGGAGCAAACAGG
rnacentral:rRNA from 1 species